rnacentral:rRNA from 1 species
AAAGGAAUAGACGGGGACCCGCACAAGCAGAGGAGGAUGUGGUUUAAUAUGACGAUACGCGUAGAACCUUACCGAGGCUUGACAUCCUGAGGAUCCGCCGGAAACGGUGGAGUGCCUUCGGGAGCUCAGUGACAGGUGCUGCAUGGCCGUCGUCAGCUCGUGUCGUGAGAUGUUGGGUUAAGUCCCGCAACGAGCGCAACCCUUAUCGUAUGUUGUAUUUUUCAUGCGAGACUGCCCGGGCCAACCGGGAGGAAGGUGGGGAUGACGUCAGGUCGGCAUGGCCCUUACGCCUCGGGCCACACACGUCCUACAAUGGCUAGUACAACGCGUUGCCAACCCGCGAGGGGGAGCUAAUCGCAUCAAAACUAGUCUCAGUUCGGAUUGGAGGCUGCAACUCGCCUCCAUGAAGUCGGAUUUGCUAGUAAACGUGGGUCAGCACACCACGUUGAAUACGUUCCCGGGUCUUGUACACACCGCCCGU